GCUUGUUAGUCGGGGAGCCUUUGGCUGAGACCACUUCGGUGGGACCCGUUGAACCUGAUCCAAUUAACAUUGGCGGAGGGAACUAAUAGUAAUGCCCU
rnacentral:ncRNA from 2 species